rnacentral:rRNA from 1 species
CCCGCACAAGCGGUGGAGCAUGUGGUUUAAUUCGACGCAACGCGAAGAACCUUACCAGGGCUUGACAUCCCCUGACCGCGUAUGAAAGUACGUUUUCACCUCGGGUGACAGGGAGACAGGUGGUGCAUGGUUGUCGUCAGCUCGUGUCGUGAGAUGUUGGGUUAAGUCCCGCAACGAGCGCAACCCUCGACCUUAGUUGCCAGCAUUCAGUUGGGCACUCUAAGGUGACUGCCGGCUAAAAGUCGGAGGAAGGUGGGGAUGACGUCAAAUCAUCAUGCCCCUUAUGACCUGGGCUACACACGUGCUACAAUGGGCGGUACAAAGGGUCGCGAACCCGCGAGGGGGAGCCAAUCCCAAAAAGCCGCUCUCAGUUCGGAUUGCAGGCUGCAACUCGCCUGCAUGAAGCCGGAAUCGCUAGUAAUCGCGGAUCAGCAUGCCGCGGUGAAUACGUUCCCGGGCCUU